rnacentral:rRNA from 1 species
CAAAAACAUCGCCUUUUGAUUAAAUAUAAAAGGUCCAGCCUGCCCGGUGACAAGAUUUAACGGCCGCGGUACCCUAACCGUGCGAAGGUAGCAUAAUCACUUGUUCUUUAAAUGAGGACUCGUAUCAACGGCAUCACGAGGAUCCUACUGUCUCCCCCCUCUAAUCGGUGAAACUGAUCUCUCCGUGAAGAAGCGGAGAUGUACAUAUAAGACGAGAAGACCCCAUGGAGCUUUAAACCCAACAACACCCGCCCCCCUCCAAAUCCUAUUAUUUACCCGGUGAUUGUUUGUUUGGUUUUAGGUUGGGGUGACCGCGGAGUAUAAGAUAUCCUCCAUGAAAAAAAGCUAACUGCCCUUAUUAGAGAAAGACACUUCCAAAAAAUAAUAAAUUAAUUUUAAAUGAUCCGACAUUCGAUCAACGAACCAAGUUACCCUGGGGAUAACAGCGCAAUCCGCCCCGAGAGCCCCUAUCGACAGGCGGGUUUACGACCUCGAUGUUGGAUCAGGGUAUCCCAGUGGUGCAGCAGC